rnacentral:lncRNA from 1 species
AUGAAAGCAACAAGAUAUUAUAAUGAGUGAUUCUGGUGAAACAUAAUGUAGCAGUGCAUGGUUUACCAUUAUUUCUGUUUACGAAGAUAUUCAUGAGAAGUACAUCAAACUUCGUAUAAAAAUAUUUAAACCGCAUAGAGCUCCUAUAUGUUCUCAGCUCGUAUUCUUCAUAACUUGAAAUAAAAUGUACAAUUGACCUAAUGUAGUUCGGACCGAGUGGAAUAGUCCAAUCUCUAAUGGCCUUGUGAUCAGGUUGAAAUGUAAAUAACUCUGCAAAAAAGACAUGAAAAUCGAUCAUGUUGGAAAUCAUGAUUUGAUAUGCAUUUGAAGCCCCAUUUUGCAAUUCAUGAACACGUCAAAACAAUCAGAAAUACAUCACAAGUAAGCGAAUAAGGAUCUAACUGUACCAAAUAGGAAAAAUGAAGUAUCUGCAAUAUUUACGCAUUUUGUAAUCAUAGUAAUGUUUUUAAAGUUAUCAGUGUCUGCAAUAUUUACCGCAUUUUGUAACCAUAGUAAUGGUUUUAAAGUUAUCAGUAUCACCUGUAGGCAAUUUCCCUUCCUCCACUUCCUUUCCAUUGAUUAGAACGGACUCUACACACCAC